CUUGACAAACUUAUAAGAGGUCCAGCCUGCCCAGUGACUCUGUUCAACGGCCGCGGUAUCCUAACCGUGCGAAGGUAGCGUAAUCACUUGUUCUUUAAAUGAGGACUAGUAUGAAUGGCACCACGAAGGUUAUACUGUCUCCUUUUUCUAAUCAGUGAAACUAAUCUUCCCGUGAAGAAACGGGAAUAAAAAUAUAAGACGAGAAGACCCUAUGGAGCUUUAAACAAAUAUACACCUGCCUCUUUACCAAAAAUUUCAGAAGACAAGUAAUUAUCCGGGCAUUUUGAUAUAGCGUUUUAGGUUGGGGUGACCACGGAGCAAAAAAUAACCUCCGCAGCGAACGGGAGUAUUCCCUAAACCAAGGGCCACAACCCCAAGUAUUGAUAAAUCAACACCAAUUGACCCAAUAAAUUUGAUCAAUGAAC
rnacentral:rRNA from 1 species